rnacentral:rRNA from 1 species
UACGGAGGAUGCGAGCGUUAUCCGGAUUUAUUGGGUUUAAAGGGUGCGUAGGCGGAAUGCCAAGUCAGCGGUAAAAAUGCGGUGCUCAACGCCGUCGAGCCGUUGAAACUGGCGUUCUUGAGUGGGCGAGAAGUAUGCGGAAUGCGUGGUGUAGCGGUGAAAUGCAUAGAUAUCACGCAGAACUCCGAUUGCGAAGGCAGCAUACCGGCGCCCUACUGACGCUGAGGCACGAAAGCGUGGGUAUCGAACAGG